CGCGGGGUGGAGCAGCUUGGUAGCUCGUCGGGCUCAUAACCCGAAGGUCAUAGGUUCAAAUCCUGUCCCCGCAA
rnacentral:tRNA from 1 species